GGGUGGUAAUGCCGGAUGCUCCAUCACACCGCAUGGUGUGUUGGGAAAGCCUUUGCGGCAUGGGAUGGGGUCGCGUCCUAUCAGCUUGAUGGCGGGGUAACGGCCCACCAUGGCUUCGACGGGUAGCCGGCCUGAGAGGGCGACCGGCCACAUUGGGACUGAGAUACGGCCCAGACUCCUACGGGAGGCAGCAGUGGGGAAUAUUGCACAAUGGGCGCAAGCCUGAUGCAGCGACGCCGCGUGAGGGAUGGAGGCCUUCGGGUUGUAAACCUCUUUUGUUAGGGAGCAAGGCAUUUUGUGUUGAGUGUACCUUUCGAAUAAGCACCGGCUAACUACGUGCCAGCAGCCGCGGUAAUACGUAGGGUGCAAGCGUUAUCCGGAAUUAUUGGGCGUAAAGGGCUCGUAGGCGGUUCGUCGCGUCCGGUGUGAAAGUCCAUCGCUUAACGGUGGAUCCGCGCCGGGUACGGGCGGGCUUGAGUGCGGUAGGGGAGACUGGAAUUCCCGGUGUAACGGUGGAAUGUGUAGAUAUCGG
rnacentral:rRNA from 1 species